rnacentral:rRNA from 1 species
UACGGGGGGAGCAAGCGUUGUUCGGAAUUACUGGGCGUAAAGGGCUCGUAGGUGGCCAACUAAGUCAGACGUGAAAUCCCCAGGCUCAACCUGGGAACUGCGUCUGAUACUGGAUGGCUUGAAUUCGGGAGAGGGAUGCAGAAUUCCAGGUGUAGCGGUGAAAUGCGUAGAUAUCUGGAGGAAUACCGGUGGCGAAGGCGGCAUCCUGGACCGACAUUGACGCUGAUGAGCGAAAGCGUGGGGAGCGAACAGG